GGCGUGCUUAACACAUGCAAGUCGAACGAGAACGGAACUAGCUUGCUAGUUUGUCAGCUAAGUGGCGCACGGGUGAGUAAUAUAUAGUUAACCUGCCUUCAAGAAGGGAAUAAUUGUUGGAAACGACUUGUAAGACCCUAUAUGCCUUUAUCACAUAAGUGAGCAAGGGAAAUAUUUAUAGCUUGAAGAUGGGACUGUACGGUAUCAGAUUGUUGGUGAGGUAAUGGCUCACCAAGUCUAUGACGCCUAACUGGUUUGAGAGGAUGAUCAGUCACACUGGAACUGAGACACGGUCCAGACUCCUACGGGAGGCAGCAGUGGGGAAUAUUGCACAAUGGACGAAAGUCUGAUGCAGCAACGCCGCGUGGAGGAUGACACAUUUCGGUGCGUAAACUCCUUUUAUAUAAGAAGAUAAUGACGGUAUUAUAUGAAUAAGCACCGGCUAACUCCGUGCCAGCAGCCGCGGUAAUACGGGGGGUGCAAGCGUUACUCGGAAUCACUGGGCGUAAAGAGCAUGUAGGCGGGUAUUUAAGUUGGAAGUGAAAUCCUAUGGCUUAACCAUAGAACUGCUUCCAAAACUGAAUACCUAGAGUAUGGGAGAGGUAGAUGGAAUUUCUGGUGUAGGGGUAAAAUCCGUAGAGAUCAGAAGGAAUACCGAUUGCGAAGGCGAUCUACUGGAACAUUACUGACGCUAAGAUGCGAAAGCGUGGGGAGCAAACAGGAUUAGAUACCCUGGUAGUCCACGCCCUAAACGAUGUACACUAGUUGUUGCUAUGCUAGACAUAGCAGUAAUGCAGUUAACACAUUAAGUGUACCGCCUGGGGA
rnacentral:rRNA from 1 species